rnacentral:tRNA from 1 species
CUAAAAUGGCAGAGCCCGGUAAUUGCAAAAGACCUAAACCCUUUAUUCAGAGGUUCAAAUCCUCUUUUUAGUA